UGUUUAAUUAAAACAAAGCAUUGUGAUGGUCCCAAAGGAUGUUGACACAAUGU
rnacentral:ncRNA from 1 species